rnacentral:rRNA from 1 species
GACGAACGCUGGCGGCGUGCUUAACACAUGCAAGUCGAACGGAAAGGCCCUGCUUUUGUUGGGUGCUCGAGUUGCGAACGGGUGAGUAACACGUGAGUAACCUGCCCUUGACUUUGGGAUAACUUUUGGAAACUGUGGCUAAUACCGCAUAGGAGUUCCUGCUGCAUGGUGGUGGUUGGAAAGGUUCGGUGGUUGGGGAAGGACUCGGGGCUUAUCAGCUUGUUGGUGGGGUAGUGGCAUACCAAGGCGUUGACGGGUAGCCGGCCUGAGAGGGUGACCGGCCACAUUGGGACUGGGAUACGGCCCAGACUGCUACGGGAGGCAGCGGUGGGGAAUAUAGCGCGAUGGGCGGAAGGCGGAUGCAGCAACGCCGCGUGCGGGAUGACGGCCUUCGGGUUGGAAACCGCUUUCGCCUGUGACGAAGAGUGAGUGACGGUAAUGGGUAAGGAAGCAACGGCUAACUACGUG